CUCUGAUGUCCUGGCUGCCAUAUAUUGGUCAUCUUAGUGACUCCCCUGGCUUCUCCCCAAGUUCACUUGAGAGGAGUCCGGUUGCUGGAACCAGAGCAGAGCACUGUUCUCCGGAGUAGGGCUUCAUAUGCCUGCACUGAACCCGCUUGGGCACAAGGUGGGAAUCAAUAACACCCAGAGCUAGUGCUUUAUACCAGGAAGGCCAAAGUCCGAAGGCUCACUUGGUGCCCCCUUCCAACAUGCCUCAGGGUCUAGGCACCGAUAAGCGUGCUCAUCCCGGCCUCAAAAGAAGUAGAGUCCAGACUGUGGGACAGAGCUUUGCAGGUGGCCAACCAAAUCUGUUCUGGUCUUUUCAUCCACAAUCAAUCAAUCCAUCAAUCAAGAAUAUCGGCAGAAUGCCUAUGGUGCCCAGAAUACUCUGCUAAGCAUGGUGCUUCCCCCCAAAUUUUCUCUCUAGCUCUUUUUUCCCAUUUCCCUCUGCUACCUGAGUCCCCAAAACAAGGAAACAAGGAGAAAAUGAGAAGAAAAGAUGGUGUGAAAGGAGUUUUAACUUAGUGGGGGGAAAAAUGAGAUAGAUGCACUUGGCCUUUCUCCUUCCAGCCCUCCCCCGAGGCCAAUAAAUAUAUAGUUACCAUGUGAUAGCACCCACAUUACCCCAGUCACCUUUCCCCUCCAUCCCCUCAUUCUAGUUAUAAAAAGAUCAGCCAAUCAGCGGAGCAGAGACCUCAGUGACUCAACACUCCAGCCCCAGAGUCCCCAGCCCCACUUUAGAACAUCUGGGGCUCAGGAACAGGUGGGAACCACCAUCGUCUCCUCCUCGCCUCCUCCCCAGAUCCCCGAGCACUGUAGGCGGAGACAUGCUGGGGUCCGUCACCCUCCUUCUCGCCACCCUGCUCCCCGCUGGCCAGACAACGCUCACCAUGAAUCAGCCAAUUGUCUCCAUCACCAGACAGGCUGGUACAUCGGCAUCAUUUCCCUACGAGUUUUACCACAACAGCUUCCCUUACAUCCACUGGUAUCGCCAGCAGCCUGGAAUGGCUCCCCAGCACCUGCUCUACUGUGACCUGCACUCCUCUGAACCCAUCCUGGCUGCGGAAUUCAGCUCUGAGAAAUUUUCUACUUACAAGAACAACGAACAUAGCUGUACCCUGCAAGUACACAAGCUGAACGUUAAUGACACCGCCACCUAUUACUGUGCCAGCUGGGCCUACACAGUGACACAGUUCCCUCCGUCCCUCAUACAAAAAGUCAAUUUCUCUGGUCACUAGGACCUACUCCUCACAGGUCCAGCAGCGAAUCUCACCUUCUGUUUCAGGCUCCUUGGCAAGCUAAGCUUGGCUCCAGUUUGGUUUCUAGAGCAAAACAGGUCUGUGCCCUCACCACAUCAAUAAAUCAAUCGAUCACUGGUAGUUAUUUGACACUUAUUGUGUACAGAAUGCUGAACUACAUGUUUGGGAGAGUUGAGUAGAGUAGAGGCACACAAUCCUGGCCCUGAAGGAACUUGAAGUCCAGAAAGAGGAGACAGAAAUUAAAAUAAAUUACAAAUAAGAAAAAUGGAAGGAUGUGGGACAGGGAUUGUGUCACACCUGAUUGUCUUUUAUUCACCCCGACGUUCCAUGCAGUCCGUGGCACGUAGUAAGCUCUUACUAAACUCCACCAUUAUUACUAUCAUCAUUAUGUAACCUGGGUGUCAUUCGUAGCCACAGUUGGGAAGGUAGGGCAGGAGUGGGGCUUGAGUUCAGGGUCUCCCAACCUCUCCCAGACCCAGUUGAACCCUGGAGAGAAACGAAUGGAAGAAUCACGACUCCCACAGCCCAACUGAGAAGCAGCGUGGCUUUGUGGAAAGAGCAUGGGCUUGAGAGUCAGAGGUCAUGGGUUCUAAUCCUGGCUCCGCCAUUUAGCUGUGUGACUUUGGGCAAGUCACUUAACUUCUCUGUGCUUCAGUUAGCUCAUCAGAAAAAUGAGAAUUAAGACUGUGAACCCCACGUGGGAUAACCUCAUUACCUUGUAUCUACCCAAGCACUUAGAACAGUGCUUGGCACGUGGUAAGCGCUUAACCAUUGCCAUCGUUAUUAUUACUACCUGGAACAGGUUGAAAAGAGAAAGACCUGAGUCCCUGUUUCUCUCCUCAUAAAUUAUAUUCUCUGACUGAUUCUCUGUCCAAUAUUAGAUUCACCCCACCAGAUUAUAAACUCAUGGUCCAUAUCUUUCUGUCUCCUUUUACUCUCACCUGGUACAGUCCUGUGAAUACAGUAGGCAUUCAGCAUGUACUACUGACUGACGUUUCAGUGUGGUGCAGGCAAGAUCAAGACAUUUCCCUCAGGAUUGCUCGAAUAGCUUACAGUGGUAUGUGAUCGAGGUCUCUCUCCUGUCCCUGCCAUCCCUCUGCCUAACACGUCUCAUCUCUUGCUCCCACCGGCUCUCCCUCGUGGCCAACAAGCAUGUAGUGAUCAUGUGAAAGCACUCUGGUACCCCCAUCACCUCUCUUCCCCAACCCCCUGAACCAGUCAAGAGAAAGAAGCCCAGCCAAUCAGAAGAGCAGAGACCUCGGUGAUUCACUGCUCCAACCCCAGGGCCCCAGACCCCACUUCAGACCACUGGGCUCAGGGACAGGUAGGAACCACCAUCCUCUACUCCUUUCAUCCUCCUCAGAGCUCCAAGUGCUGCAGGCAGAGACAUGUUGGUUUCUGUCGCCCUCCUUCUUGCCUCCCUGUUCCCCGGUAAGUCGACUGCUUUCAUCCUGGGUUAGUUCACCUCGAAUCGUCUCCUUAUUCUCCAACUCCUCCUCCCCAACCUCACCACGGUGGUUUACUUUCUGCUUCCAUUGCAGCUGGCCAGACAG
rnacentral:lncRNA from 1 species